ACGGAGGGUGCGAGCGUUGUCCGGAAUCACUGGGCGUAAAGGGCGCGUAGGCGGCCUCUUAAGCGUGCGGUGAAAGCUCGGGGCUCAACUCCGAGUCGGCCGUGCGAACUGGGGGGCUGGAGCACAGUAGAGGCAGAUGGAAUUCCAGGUGUAGCGGUGAAAUGCGUAGAUAUCUGGAGGAACACCGGUGGCGAAGGCGGCAUCCUGGACCGGUAUUGACGCUGAGGCGCGAAAGCCAGGGGAGCAAACGGGA
rnacentral:rRNA from 1 species